UGUAUUCUGCUAUGUCUACUGGGAGAAUACACUAGUGGGGAUAGUUCUGUGUAUACAGUGAUUAAGCACAUAGGUUCUGGAGCCAGUCUGUUUCUUUCAAAAUCACCUCAUUGCUUUUGAAGAAUCAGGGAAACCCCCAUGAGACUACAGGUGUGAAGCAAGAUAGAAGCAUCAGUGCAAAAGAGUACUGCAUUUCCAAAUAAAGCCACUCACAAUCUUUAAUCAGGCUGUAAAUUUUAAGAAAUCUGGACCAAGACAGUUUGCUCCAAGAGUAUCCCACAAAUGCAGAUCUUCAGAGUGAGAUUUUAUUAUUGGAUUGCUCACCUGUCUGUUGAUUCUCUUACUGAGAUACCUUGGAACAUGGUUUGAAUAAUAUUGCUCUAACUUCUUUCAUGUCAGGAAGCUCUGAGAUACUUCCUUUUCUUACUUAAUAAGAAUAGACCUUGGAGGUCUGGACCUGGACAUGAACGUACACUUUUCUAAAGAAGAUAUACACAUGGCCAACAAGCAUGUGAAAAAAAGCUCAAUAUCACUGAUCAUUAGAGAAAUGCAAAUGAAAAUCACAAUGAGAGACCAUCUCACACCAGUCAGAAUGGCUAUUAUUAAAAACUCAAAAAAUAACAGAUGCUGGCGAGGUUGCAGAGAAAAGGGAACACUUAUACACUGUUGGUGGGAGUGUAAAUUAGUUCAACUAUUGUGUAAAGCAAUAUGUCAAUUCCUCAAAGAGCUAAAAAAGAACUACCAUUGGACUCAGCAAUCCCAUUACUGGGUAUAUACUCAGAGGAAUAUAAGUCACUCUACUAUAAACACACACGCAUGCAAAUUUUCAUUGUAGCACUAUUUACAAUAGCAAAGACAUGGAAUCAACCUAAAUGCUCAUCAAUGACAGAUCGGAUAAAGAAAAUAUGCAUCUUCAACCUUUCUGGACUACAGCACCUGCCAACUGACCCCCACAUCAUGGCUCCAACGCUGGCUUCAUCACAUAUCUUCUCUCUCAGUCCCUUUGGCUCUCAGGGUGCAAUAGCUUAACAAAAUUGCUGAUCUAGGUGCCUCAGCAUUGUUUCUUUGUCAUAGUCUCUGUAUUAUCUUAUUUUGAGCCAUUCUUUUCCUGCAAAGAUCCUAACUGAAUGAGAUAACUACUUCAUAAGCUAUUUGUAAGGUUUAAAUAAAUUAAUGCAUAUUUAAUACAUGAA
rnacentral:lncRNA from 1 species